AAAGCUUGGCGAUACAGGGUGAUAGCCCCGUAACCGACGCUUCAUCGAGCGUGAAAUCGAGUAGGGCGGGACACGUGAUAUCCUGUCUGAAUAUGGGGGGACCAUCCUCCAAGGCUAAAUACUCCUGACUGACCGAUAGUGAACCAGUACCGUGAGGGAAAGGCGAAAAGAACCCCUGUGAGGGGAGUGAAAUAGAACCUGAAACCGUGUACGUACAAGCAGUAGGAGCACCUUCGUGGUGUGACUGCGUACCUUUUGUAUAAUGGGUCAGCGACUUAUAUUCAGUGGCAAGGUUAACCGUAUAGGGGAGCCGUAGCGAAAGCGAGUCUUAACUGGGCGCUCAGUCUCUGGAUAUAGACCCGAAACCGGGUGAUCUAGCCAUGGGCAGGUUGAAGGUUGAGUAACAUCAACUGGAGGACCGAACCGACUAAUGUUGAAAAAUUAGCGGAUGACUUGUGGCUAGGGGUGAAAGGCCAAUCAAACUCGGAGAUAGCUGGUUCUCCCCGAAAGCUAUUUAGGUAGCGCCUCGGACGAAUACUACUGGGGGUAGAGCACUGUUAAGGCUAGGGGGUCAUCCCGACUUACCAACCCUUUGCAAACUCCGAAUACCAGUAAGUACUAUCCGGGAGACACACGGCGGGUGCUAACGUCCGUCGUGGAGAGGGAAACAACCCAGACCGCCAGCUAAGGUCCCAAAGUAUUGCUAAGUGGGAAACGAUGUGGGAAGGCUCAGACAGCUAGGAUGUUGGCUUAGAAGCAGCCAUCAUUUAAAGAAAGCGUAAUAGCUCACUAGUCGAGUCGGCCUGCGCGGAAGAUGUAACGGGGCUAAGCAAUACACCGAAGCUGCGGCAAUAUCUUUUAGAUAUUGGGUAGGGGAGCGUUCUGUAAGCCGUUGAAGGUGGUCUGUAAGGGCUGCUGGAGGUAUCAGAAGUGCGAAUGCUGACAUGAGUAACGACAAAGGGGGUGAAAAACCUCCUCGCCGGAAGACCAAGGGUUCCUGUCCAACGUUAAUCGGGGCAGGGUGAGUCGACCCCUAAGGUGAGGCCGAAAGGCGUAAUCGAUGGGAAACGGGUUAAUAUUCCCGUACUUCUGACUAUUGCGAUGGGGGGACGGAGAAGGCUAGGUGGGCCAGGCGACGGUUGUCCUGGUUCAAGUGCGUAGGCUUGAGAGUUAGGUAAAUCCGGCUCUCUCUAAGGCUGAGACACGACGUCGAGCUGCUACGGCAGUGAAGUCAUUGAUGCCAUGCUUCCAGGAAAAGCCUCUAAGCUUCAGAUAGUCAGGAAUCGUACCCCAAACCGACACAGGUGGUCGGGUAGAGAAUACCAAGGCGCUUGAGAGAACUCGGGUGAAGGAACUAGGCAAAAUGGUACCGUAACUUCGGGAGAAGGUACGCUCUUGAUGGUGAAGUCCCUCGCGGAUGGAGCUGACGAGAGUCGCAGAUACCAGGUGGCUGCAACUGUUUAUUAAAAACACAGCACUGUGCAAAAUCGCAAGAUGACGUAUACGGUGUGACGCCUGCCCGGUGCCGGAA
rnacentral:rRNA from 1 species